rnacentral:tRNA from 1 species
UGUCCUAUGGUGUAAUGGCUAGCACUAGAGUUUUUGGUUCUCUCAGUCGUGGUUCGAGUCCGCGUAGGACAA